GUAGGGGGCAAGCGUUGUCCGGAAUCAUUGGGCGUAAAGAGCGUGUAGGCGGUCCGGUAAGUCGGCUGUGAAAGUCCAGGGCUCAACUCUGGGAUGCCGGUCGAUACUGCCGGACUAGAGUUCGGAAGAGGCGAGUGGAAUUCCCGGUGUAGCGGUGAAAUGCGCAGAUAUCGGGAGGAACACCUAUGGCGAAGGCAGCUCGCUGGGACGUUACUGACGCUGAGACGCGAAAGCGUGGGGAGCAAACAGGAUUAGAUACCCUGGUAGUCCACGCCGUAAACGAUGGGCACUAGGUGUGGGAGGUGUCGACUCCUCCCGUGCCGGAGCUAACGCAUUAAGUGCCCCGCCUGGGGAGUACGGCCGCAAGGCUAAA
rnacentral:rRNA from 1 species